GACGGAGGGAGCGAGCGUUAUUCGGAAUCAUUGGGCGUAAAGAGCGUGUAGGCGGCCGGUUAAGUCAGGUGUGAAAGCCCGGGGCUCAACCUCGGAAGGCAACUUGAAACUAAUCGUCUUGAGUUCGGGAGAGGGAAGCGGAAUUCCUGGUGUACAGGUGAAAUUCGUAGAUAUCAGGAGGAACACCGGUGGCGAAGGCGGCUUCCUGGACCGAAACUGACGCUGAGGCGCGCCAGCGUGGGGAGCUGUCAGG
rnacentral:rRNA from 1 species